rnacentral:rRNA from 1 species
GAAACAUCUUAGUACCCGGAGGAAGAGAAAGAAAAUUCGAUUCCCUUAGUAGCGGCGAGCGAAACGGGAAGAGCCCAAACCAACAAGCUUGCUUGUUGGGGUUGUAGGACACUCUAUACGGAGUUACAAAGGACGACAUUAGACGAAUCAUCUGGAAAGAUGAAUCAAAGAAGGUAAUAAUCCUGUAGUCGAAAAUGUUGUCUCUCUUGAGUGGAUCCUGAGUACGACGGAGCACGUGAAAUUCCGUCGGAAUCUGGGAGGACCAUCUCCUAAGGCUAAAUACUCUCUAGUGACCGAUAGUGAACCAGUACCGUGAGGGAAAGGUGAAAAGCACCCCGGAAGGGGAGUGAAAUAGAACCUGAAACCGUGUGCUUACAAGUAGUCAGAGCCCGUUAAUGGGUGAUGGCGUGCCUUUUGUAGAAUGAACCGGCGAGUUACGAUUUGAUGCAAGGUUAAGCAGUAAAUGUGGAGCCGUAGCGAAAGCGAGUCUGAAUAGGGCGUUUAGUAUUUGGUCGUAGACCCGAAACCAGGUGAUCUACCCUUGGUCAGGUUGAAGUUCAGGUAACACUGAAUGGAGGACCGAACCGACUUACGUUGAAAAGUGAGCGGAUGAACUGAGGGUAGCGGAGAAAUUCCAAUCGAACCUGGAGAUAGCUGGUUCUCUCCGAAAUAGCUUUAGGGCUAGCCUCAAGUGAUGAUUAUUGGAGGUAGA